GCAGGCUGGCCACCCAGUAAUGAGCACAAGUUAAAAUGUGGGUAAUGUGUCAGUCAUUGCGCAGGCACUUUGGUGACUCUAGAUAACCUCGGGCCGAUCACACGUCCCCGUGAUGGCCAACAACGCAUUCGGAAGUCUGCCCUAUCACCUUUCGAUGGUACUUUCUGCGCCUACCAUGGUGGCCACGGGUAACGGGGAAUCAGGGUUCGAUUCUGGAGAGGGAGCCUGAGAAACUGCUACCACAUCCAAGAACGGCAACAGGCACGCAAAUUACCCACUCCUGACGCGGGGAGGUAGUGAC